ensembl:lincRNA
AUUUAUUAAUAUGAUUUAAAUUAAUUAGAUCCCUAAAUAAUGAAUGUACUUAAUUGAGAACCAAUAUUUUGACUGUAGACUAUCCACAUGCACCUGUGGAUUGGCCUGUGCAGAAAGAACACCUGCGAUUUUCUGUUUUUCUGGCAUGCUCCCAUCAUGCACUGUCUGGUCCCUCAAAUUGCUAUUUAUGCACUUAUUUCUAUUUUAAUCCUGCCCACCUCCAUUGCAGGGUAGGCUCAGCGAACAGCUGUGCCUCUGUUGCAUGGUUUAUUCUCGGAGUCUCUGUGCAGUGCCUCAACCCUGAUGGAAACUUAGGAAUCCUGCAUUCACUGAAUAGUGAACUCUGUGAUUGUGACAUCAGCUCCGGGUCCGAGUCUACAUUCCGGGGCAGCCUGGCUCCCAUAGCUCAGGGAAUUGUGACACUCCCAUUGGGCAGUUGUGGUGGUCUCUCCCAUAUGGCCCAGAUCCACUACUCUGUCAAAGGUUGCACCACCCAGACAAAAACAGGACACAGCAGUGUGUCAAUGAGCCAUGCUUUCUCCUGCCUUCCACAUCAUAAAAGUACACAUUGGAGUAGACAUUGCUGCUAAUUCCAUAUUGAAGUGGAUAAUACCACCAAUGACCAAGUAACCUCGGCAAAGCAGAGACAGCUGGAGUGGGAAGAGUCUUCUCUUCUUGGAAGGAAUUUGCAAGGAAGACAGGUCCAAAAGGAAGAUGAGGAAACAGCCUGCAUUCCUGAGGGGACUGCACAGUGUAUCUGAGAGACGAUUUUCAGGAGGCCAGAAAAUCAAGCUGGAGGGAUUAUUAGUGUGUCGAGAGAUUGCUACCUGUUUCGAGUCAGAACAUUGUCACUUCUUUUUCCCCACCUUGGAGACUUCAGAUGGUUUCUGGUGGAGCCAGGACAGCGCUCCUGCCCCAGGACCUCAGGACGAGGACGAAGUCCUGGGCUCUGCUGGAACACAGCAUAGGAUAAUUCCCACAGCUGCGUGGGCCUAGGGGGCAGGAGGGAGAUGUGCGCUGAGGGCCACCUGCCGGAUUUAAAGACGGAGCCCGGAUGGAUUGAGAAGUAUUGUUCUAAGGAUCCGGCGUAGACAAAUGGACCCUCCUUGGAAAGAUGAGUGGCCCCGGGGUUGUCCCCAAACCUCAGGACCAGCCCAAGUCUAUGACUCCUUGCACAAGGGCACCUGCUCUCACUGCCCAAGGAUCUCAGGACUUUCUCCUCCAAACAUCUGCUCCUGGAACACAGGGCCCCUCCUCUUCUUCGUAUUGGGACCCGCCUGGCUGUACACUAGGAAUGUCCCCUGGACAGCAAUUUGAAGGCCCUAUGCUCGCUCACUGCACUAAGGAUUCUUGAGCGACGGCCGACGUGGUCAACACACAGCCCCGGCCCACUGUGCGGAACUGCAUUGUGUAAGCUUCUCCCCGGGCAGAGUCCCCGCCUGUCCUUGCUGCCCCCGUCCUGUUCUCGUCCUUCUAUUCUCCAACCCUCCCCAAAGCCCUUUCUUCCCCUACUUCAAGGCUGGGGACCUUUUCUGAGCACUUUGCUCAUUGCAAAACAAAACAAAAUAAAACAAAACAAAGCCCGUUUUGGUUUGGGCCUCAACUGUUCUCCUAAUUGCUCUCUGAUUUUCCAUUUGAACUCAGCCUAUUUUCAUUUUACUCAGCCUAUUUCUGCAAUACAUUAUCACUGUGUAUUAAGAAAGUGGUAGAUUUUGAACCCUUUGGCCUGUAUUCUUUAAUGCAUCCUCUUUUAGAUUGUAGAGUUUCAUCUGAGCUUCCCAACCUUAACUCCUCACUCCCCGCCUCUUCCACAGGGAAGUUAGAAGGAUUCGGAGAAGUGGGUUCCUAUCAGAGAGUCUGGCGUCUCCACUCUGGACACGCCACUUAACAUCACCUGACCUCUGGAUGGAUCAAGUCAGUCAACUUCGCCGGCUCUAAAACCCCUUUAAUUCAAAAACUUGGAACCUGUAUUUUCUUUUCCUUAGAUGCCCAUGAUUUAUUUUUAAAAUAAAGAUUCUAAUUUUCCAUCCAAGACCCCUGCACCCUUCAGCACACUCAGUCUGGGGUUCACUUUCCAGACCCGGUCUCCAGGUGAUGUCUGCUUCUCCAGUCGUGUGAGUCUGAAACGGCGACUGAUUCCUGUGCACACUUCAGCUCCCCAGGCCAGAAUGCUGUCACUCUGGGGAGGAAUUAUGGCUUCACUUUUUGCUUCAUUCCUGCUGUAGAGCACAGGCACCCAGCAAAGCCCAGAGUCAACAGACACUGUUUCACGCGCAGCAAAUGCAAGUCUUUAUUCAUGAUUACUUUUGUCCUGUGUUUUUCAUGUCCCCCUGUUUUAUUAAUGCCCCCCAAUUUUCCCUUUUAAAUACUCUGGGUGAUGGUUCAAGGCAAGACGACUGCUGGGUUCUUCGUCACACCUGAAGCAAGAAAAAGUUACAUGCAGGCAAAGGAGCUGGACACAGGAUCUCAUCUAAAGGACAGUAUCACUUAGCUAUGCAUGGGCAAGAAAGAACGGAAUGCUUCUGAAUAAAGGAAACAUUAGUCCUAGAUUUCAACCAAGAGAAGGAAUGCUGAGAGUUCUUGACAGCGAGAGCUUCGUCAGGGGUGACAUGCCUUUGAUUUUGAGUGGCUAGCACACACCCACAUGCACACAUGACCUUCUGCCUUAGUUUCAGGUUGUGGAAACUUCUUAACAGGAACUGUGGCUACAGCUGCAUUUAUACAUAUUUACGGGGCACUUACCACAUAUAGCAAAAUAUCCUGAAGAGUAAAUUACAAUCCUCUACCAUUUUGAAGGCACUUAGGAAAUUCUGUCUGUAUUUACACUUUCAUUAGGGUUAGUGAACAGCAAUGUGUUGCUGAUUAUUCUAAUGUUGCUCCUGGAAAUGUUGUGUUAUUUUAAGAGAUUCAUAUCCUCCAUGUGGGGUUGGAAACAUCUGUUCAGAGAAGAACAUAUCAGUUAAGAUUAUUUUGCUCCUCCCAGUUUGAGUCCAGAUGGUUACAUCUAUGCAGUAUGUACUACAAGUUUCAAUUAUCUACUGUAAUUUAAUUUAUUUUAUUUUGUAUGUCUAAUGAAACUAAUAUUUAAAAUAACUCCUAAUAUAUUUCUAACGUGCUAAAAGCUAAAGGUCCUUAAGUGUGUGUUUAUGUGUGUGUGUGUCUGUUAAAAUGUUAUAAGAUUACUGGAUGCUAAGAAUGCCAUUUUCAGUCCAGGCGUGGUGGCUCACUCCUGUAAUCCCAGCACUUUGGGAGGCCUAGGCAGGCGGAUCACUUCAGGUCAGGAGUUCAACACCAGCCCACUCAACAUGGUGACACCUCAUCUCUACUAAAAACACAAAAAUUAGUGGGGUGUGGUGGUGCACUCCUGUGAUCCCAGGUACUCAGGAGGCUGAGGUAGGAGAAUCGCUUGAAUGUGGCAGGAGGAAAUUGCCAGCCUGGAUGAUAGAGACACUGUCUCUAAAAUAAAUAAAUAAAUAAAUAAAUAUUUUAAAAAUGC